GUGCUCACUUGCAGCAGCACAUGUACUAAAGUGGAGCGACAUAGAGAAAAUUAGCAUGGCCCCCUCUUGCAAGGAUGACAUAAAAUUCAUGAAGCGUUCAUUUU